rnacentral:rRNA from 1 species
UUGAAUACUAGUAUGAACGAUAGUACAUUUAAAUAUUUUCUUUGGUUAAGUAAUAUAAUUUAGGGUUUAGGUAAAAACACCUAAAUAAAUAAAAAAGACGAUAAGACCCUAAAAGCUUUAUUUAUAUAAAUUUAUAUUUUAUAAAUUUAAAUUUAAAUUUUUAACUGGGGUAGUCAAAUAGCUAUUAUAUAAAAAAUAUCAAUUCUCUAUAAUUAGGUUUUAGAUAAGUUACUUUAGGGAUAACAGCGUAAUAGUAGUGAAGAGCACUUAUCUAUAUAACUGAUUACGACCUCGAUGUUGAAUUAAUAAAUCUAAUUUAAAGCAGUUUUUAACUAAGAGGGUUUGUUCAACCCUUAAU